UGGCCUACGGGAGGCAGCAGUGGGGAAUAUUGGGCAAUGGGCGCAAGCCUGACCCAGCAACGCCGCGUGAAGGAAGAAGGCUUUCGGGUUGUAAACCUCUUUUGUCAGGGAGCAACGCCGGCUACGUGUAGCCGGACUGAGAGUACCUGAAGAAAAAGCAUCGGCUAACUCCGUGCCAGCAGCCGCGGUAAUACGGAGGAUGCGAGCGUUAUCCGGAUUUAUUGGGUUUAAAGGGUGCGUAGGCGGAAUGCCAAGUCAGCGGUAAAAUCGCGGGGCUCAACCUCGCUCCGCCGUUGAAACUGGCG
rnacentral:rRNA from 1 species